CCUACGUGGUGCAGCAGUGGGGAAUAUUGCGCAAUGGGCGAAAGCCUGACGCAGCGACGCCGCGUGAGGGAUGAAGGUCUUCGGAUCGUAAACCUCUGUCAGCAGGGAAGAACGGUCACUGUGCUAAUCAGCAGUGAAUUGACGGUACCUGCAAAGGAAGCACCGGCUAACUCCGUGCCAGCAGCCGCGGUAAUACGGAGGGUGCGAGCGUUAAUCGGAAUUACUGGGCGUAAAGCGCUCGUAGGCGGUAUGUCAAGUCAAGGGUGAAAUCCCCGCGCUCAACGUGGGAACUGCCUUUGAAACUGGCAAACUGGAGUGUGUGAGAGGAUAGUGGAAUGCCAGGUGUAGGAGUGAAAUCCGUAGAUAUCUGGAGGAACAUCAGUGGCGAAGGCGACUAUCUGGCACAUAACUGACGCUGAGGAGCGAAAGCGUGGGUAGCAAACAGGAUUAGAUACCCGAGUAGUC
rnacentral:rRNA from 1 species